CUCUACACUAAACACAGUAUUUCCAUAGCUAAUAUUACUUGCUAAUACUUACCUGUAGGACCUGUUGAGUAAAGUUAACAUGUAUUUGAGUACUUACCAUGAAUAUGUAGACAAAGUAACUGAUAUAAUACUGAGUAUGGGGAGGAUUGAAUGCAGUGCAAAUAUUGCAAAUUGGAAAGCUCCAAUCAAGAGAUAUCUGAAAAAUGUCAUGGCAUCACCAGCAAAGACCUCCUGAAGACUUUCAAUGAGUGCCUUGAGAAUUAUGUGGCUCGCCUGCUCAGACUGUACCGGGCUAGAAAGGGAGCUAUUGGUCAGCAGAUAGAAGACUUCCUGGAUAAGCUUGAU